AUACGAGUCGUUUUCGGUCAAGAUACACUCAAUUCCUUGCUCUGCGGGAAUGUGUGAUUUACAGGAGAAAAGGUAACAGGAUGCUGGAGAAGAAAGAUGAGGAUGAAGAUGAAGAGAUGCUGGAGAGAUGCUUUAUUGACACCGGGCAACACUCCACACCAUCCUUCUAGUGGGGUUCUAAUUAAAAAUGGUAAGUAUUAAUGCUAUUUUUGGAGAUUUUCCCCUGUUUCUUUCCAUGUUCGAUGCAUUAAGCUUAUCUCCUAUUCGAUUAUUCAAAAAAUUUUACGACAAAUUCACUAAAUAGCCUUAGG